UCGAGGAUCUUCCGCAAUGGGGGCAACCCUGACGGAGCGACGCCGCGUGGAGGAUGAAGGUCUUCGGAUUGUAAACUCCUGUUGCUCGGGACGAAAUGCCUCGACCUAAUACGUCGAAGUUUGACGGUACCGAGUGAGGAAGCCCCGGCUAACUCUGUGCCAGCAGCCGCGGUAAUACCGAGGGGGCAAGCGUUGUUCGGAAUUACUGGGCGUAAAGGGCGCGUAGGCGGCCUGUUAAGUCGAACGUGAAAUCCCUGGGCUCAACCCAGGAACUGCGUCCGAUACUGGCAGGCUUGAAUCCGGGAGAGGGAUGCGGAAUUCCAGGUGUAGCGGUGAAAUGCGUAGAUAUCUGGAGGAACACCGGUGGCGAAGGCGGCAUCCUGGACCGGUAUUGACGCUGAGGCGCGAAAGCCAGGGGAGCAAACGGGAUUAGAUACCCCCGUAGUCCCUGAGCGGGCUGGCAAGGCGCAU
rnacentral:rRNA from 1 species